rnacentral:rRNA from 1 species
GGGGAAUAUUGGGCAAUGGGCGCAAGCCUGACCCAGCAACGCCGCGUGAAGGAAGAAGGCUUUCGGGUUGUAAACUUCUUUGACAGAGGACGAAAGCAAUGACGGUACCCUGAAAACAAGCCACGGCUAACUACGUGCCAGCAGCCGCGGUAAUACGUAGGUGGCAAGCGUUGUCCGGAUUUACUGGGUGUAAAGGGCGCGUAGGCGGGAUGGCAAGUCAGAUGUGAAAAUUAUGGGCUCAACCCAUAACCUGCAUUUGAAACUGCUGUUCUUGAGUAUCGGAGAGGCAGGCGGAAUUCCUAGUGUAGCGGUGAAAUGCGUAGAUAUUAGGAGGAACACCAGUGGCGAAGGCGGCCUGCUGGACGACAACUGACGCUGAUGCGCGAAAGCGUGGGGAGCAAAC